rnacentral:lncRNA from 1 species
CUCAGCUAGCUCUGACAAUGACUGAAGUAGCUGACUCACUGCUGGGGUCCUCGGUUCCUCGGGUCCGAACCUACACAGGUGGACUCAAAUGAGGGACCAAACAUACUAGAACAUGACUCUAAAAACAUUCCCCAAAAACCCCCUAAAACACCUCAAAACAAUCAUGCAAAACAUGCAAAGGAAGGCUGAACAGGGCACUUUCGGUGGCAGGUUCGGCGGCCGAAAGUCCCUCUAGAGCCGAAAGUCGGACAGGUUCGGCGGCACUUUCGGAGGCCGAAAGUGCCCUCCAGAGACGAAAGUCCAUUUUCGGGGGCAUGCUUCGGCAGCCGAAAGGCUUGCCUCCCAGGCAGGUUCGGCGGCCGAAAGUCCUUCGGCUGCCGAACCUGGUUUCUGCCAAAAGGGCAGAAACUCGGCUCACACAUGCUCCCAUGCCUCCCAAACUUGCAAACAUGUAUACCACUCAACCAAAACAAGCAUAAACACAUACAUAAGCUCCUAGGGGCUUCAAACUAUCCUAAACCCUAACUACAACACAUCAAAAGCAACUCAGCAACCUACAUUAUACAUAAACACAACCCAAAACCUAACAAAGCUCAACUAACCUAAGCAUGCAUUUCUACCCCAUGAAUCAACUUAAAACUUGUUUAAAACAUAUAGUGAGCUCAAGAUCGGCCCUUACCUCUUGAAGAUCGAGAGGAAAACGACCCUAACUCGGAGAUGGGAGAGAUUGAGUUUCUUGAACCUCAAAGCUCCAAAACUUGCUUUAUGCUAAAAAAUCUUCAAAACAAAGUUGCAAACUCAUAAAAAUCAUGAAGAAUGGAAGGAAGAAACUCAAGAUCGGCGAGGGACGGCGGAGAGCUCACCUUGG